AUUGAACGCUGGCGGAAUGCUUUACACAUGCAAGUCGAACGGCAGCACGGACUUCGGUCUGGUGGCGAGUGGCGAACGGGUGAGUAAUGUAUCGGAACGUGCCCAGUCGUGGGGGAUAACGUAGUGAAAAUUACGCUAAUACCGCAUACGAUCUAUGGAUGAAAGCGGGGGAUCGCAAGACCUCGCGCGAUUGGAGCGGCCGAUAUCAGAUUAGGUAGUUGGUGGGGUAAAGGCCCACCAAGCCAACGAUCUGUAGCUGGUCUGAGAGGACGACCAGCCAAACUGGAACUGAGACACGGUCCAGACUCCUACGGGAGGCAGCAAUGGGGAAUUUUGGACAAUGGGCGAAAACCUGAUCCAGCCAUUCCGCGUGCAGGAUGAAGGCCCUCGGGUUGUAAACUGCUUUUGUACAGAACGAAAAGGUUUCUACUAAUACUAGGAGCUCAUGACGGUACUGUAAGAAUAAGCACCGGCUACUACGUGCCAGCCGCCGCAGUAA
rnacentral:rRNA from 1 species